ACCGUCCGUUAGUCGAUUAUGGUGAAGCCGAAAACGCCAUUAUACCCGAAGCUAAAAUAUUAGUUCAUUGUGGAUUUUGUUGAAGUUUUGUGGUGAGACCAUUUGUGGAGGAGUAUAUCUAUCGUAUUUGUAUUUGUGGAGCAUGUCUGCAGCUGCAUUGGGCUUUAUUUCGGCUCCCAACUCAGUGAGUCUCAGCCUCACCCACCUGUUGCCUCCAAACACAAGCCUGAUUUUCUUUAACUCUCUAUCGAUGCCCACUUAUGGAAACUCUUGUUUAUCGAAGCCAGCUUCUCUUAGUUAAGUAUUAUUUUUUAGAGUUCCAUAUGGAUCCUUCAACACCAAGCGCAAUUCCUUCUUCACUUCCUUUAAACCCUUUUCUUCUCCUGUCAUGCAGUGGCAGGAUUGCACGUAAUGCUCUCUCAUUUUUUACUUUAAUUCAGUUUGAUAAAUGUUACUAGUUUCAACAGCUUACGGGCAAAUUGAAUGCAGGGUAAGAACUGAAAUUGAUGUACCUGUUUCGGUAGCUUAUAAUUGUUACUCUGACAGCGAAGCCAUUCCUCGUUGGAUGCCGUUUAUUUCUUCUGUAAAGGUAUUGGAAGACAAGCCUAACUUAUCACAAUGGUCUUUAAAAUAUAAUGCUUUUGGUCGUGAUAUAGAAUACUCUUGGCUUGCUAGAAAUUUGCAGGUGAGUUUCACUGGACAGUGUUUACCCAUUUACUCUUGACUCUUUUAUUCAAUUGAUUUUUGUGUUAUUUUUUUCAUGUUCCCUUUUAUAUUAGGCUUUAAUCUGCUACCUGCAGCCUAUCCCAAAUCAGAAAAUUCACUGGAGAUCUCUAGAAGGUCUUCCUAAUAGGUAACUGUAAUAAAACCCUGUGGCCAAAACUUACGACUUGCAAGCAUGAUUUCAUAUUUUUGACUAUAUUGUAGAGUCAACGAGAAUUUUCUUGUUGACAUUUGUGACUGUUGUCCAAGGUUUAACAGAGUAAAAUCUGCUGGCACAUGGAAGACAAUGCUAUAUUUGGGAGCUCAGAUUGAUUCAAUAUAGUGUGGACACUUUUUCAUGGCUUCAUGCUAUGGCUUGGAGAGAAGAAAGUACAAAAGAAAAAGAUAAUAGGCAGAGCCAGAGCUCCGAGACUUGUAGGAGAGAGAAGAAAUGUCCUUUCUACUUCAAGCUGUGAACUAACAAAUUAUAUAAAUCUUUUACAGCUAACUGUUUCAUAUGAGGUUCCUCAACUUCUAGUUCCAGUUGCAUCUGUAAGCUUUCUCACCUUCGAUUUAGAAGCUUUGGUGGCUUGUGAUAAAGAACACACCUAUUUUAAUAUCUUGGAAAGAAAUAGUGGAAGGAAUAUUGUAUUUGUUUGAAUGUGCCUCAACAUUUUGAUGUAGCAUGCAUCAUCACACGUUUCUCUGUUAACAUUUUCAGGCCCUUCAACCUUUUCUAGAAAGCUUACUCAGAAGGGGUUUGGAAAGUUUUGCUAAGGUUGCAAAAAGCUAUUAGGCGAACUCAAUUUAUGACGGUCUCAAUUCAGUAAUAAAAUUUUCAGGUUCAUUAUUGUAACCGAUUUUUUGAUGUGGAUGCUCUUUCCCUCAAUGAAGUAUAGUUCUCUUUUGUCUGUAUUGUCCAU